rfam:Gossypium raimondii Chr09_contig_1460, whole genome shotgun sequence.
AAUCUGUGGUGUUGGCAUUUUUGAAUCAACAUUUUGAAAUGUUCCUACGCCUCAUAAAAACUUUCUCCCUACAUCUGUCUAAAGAUAGCAAUAUCUCUUCCUAGUUG